rnacentral:rRNA from 1 species
ACGGGAGGCAGCAGUAGGGAAUCUUCCGCAAUGGACGAAAGUCUGACGGAGCAACGCCGCGUGAGUGAUGAAGGUUUUCGGAUCGUAAAACUCUGUUGUUAGGGAAGAACAAGUACCGUUCGAAUAGGGCGGUACCUUGACGGUACCUAACCAGAAAGCCACGGCUAACUACGUGCCAGCAGCCGCGGUAAUACGUAGGUGGCAAGCGUUGUCCGGAAUUAUUGGGCGUAAAGCGCGCGCAGGCGGUUUCUUAAGUCUGAUGUGAAAGCCCCCGGCUCAACCGGGGAGGGUCAUUGGAAACUGGGGAACUUGAGUGCAGAAGAGGAGAGUGGAAUUCCACGUGUAGCGGUGAAAUGCGUAGAGAUGUGGAGGAACACCAGUGGCGAAGGCGACUCUCUGGUCUGUAACUGACGCUGAGGCGCGAAAGCGUGGGGAGCGAACAGGAUUAGAUACCCUGGUAGUCCACGCCGUAAACGAUGAGUGCUAAGUGUUAGAGGGUUUCCGCCCUUUAGUGCUGCAGCAAACGCAUUAAGCACUCCGCCUGGGGAGUACGGUCGCAAGACUGAAACUCAAAGGAAUUGACGGGGGCCCGCACAAGCGGUGGAGCAUGUGGUUUAAUUCGAAGCAACGCGAAGAACCUUACCAGGUCUUGACAUCCUCUGACAACCCUAGAGAUAGGGCUUCCCCUUCGGGGGCAGAGUGACAGGUGGUGCA